CAUCAAGCUGCUCGGUUGGCUGCAUCGCUGGAAUAGUAAUCGCAUGUUUGGUUGUCUGUGGAGCGGCUGCUGGUGGAGGAGGGUACUACAUUUAUAGAAAAAAACCAAUAUCUAACAACAAAGCCCCAACACGUCCUACUGCUAACAAAGAGAAAGAAGGACAUGAAUAUGAGAUCCCUUCAGUCAUAUAUGAGAAUACAUAGACUCAUUGGAUUUUAAAGGACACUCUGCCUGUGGAUCUGAGAGACUUCAUCUCUGUAGAUGCCUUAAAAAUAAACUCAAGACAUAUCUUUGUAACCUGGUUCUUAUUUAAGGUGCCUCGUCAUUUACGGCCAAAC